AGGCGAUCGACGUUAAUGAAGCAAAUCCAUAAUUGCCAAUGAUGAGCAAUUCGCUAUCGCCGCCUAAUAACGGCUAGCUGGGGCCGCUGAAGCCUUAUUACCCAAGACAGCCGGCGGGGACUUCGGUCCCCGCCGUCA
rnacentral:tmRNA from 1 species